AUUGAACGCUGGCGGCGUGCCUAACACAUGCAAGUCGAGCGGAUGGAGGGAGCUUUCUCCUGGAUUCAGCGGGGGACGGGUGAGUGAUGCCUAGGAAUCUGCCUGGCAUUUGGGGAUAACGUCCGGAAACGAGCGCUGAUACCGUAUACGAUCAGAUGUUGAAAGGGGGGGAUCUUCGGAGCUCGCGGGAUUAGCUGAGCCCAGGACGCAUUAGCUAGUUGGUGGGGUAACGGCCUACCAAGGCGACGAUCCGUAGCUGGUCUGAGAGGAUGAUCAGCCACACUGGAACUGAGACACGGUCCAGACUCCUACGGGAGGCAGCAGUAGGGAAUAUUGGGCAAUGGGCGAAAGCCUGAUCCAGCCAUGCCGCGUGAGUGAAGAAGGUCUUCGGAUCGUAAAGCACUUUAAGUUGGGAGGAACAGCAGUAAGUUAAUCCAUUGCUGUUUUGACGUUACCAACAGAAUAAGCAACGGCUAACUUCGUG
rnacentral:rRNA from 1 species